rnacentral:rRNA from 1 species
UACGGAGGGUGCAAGCGUUAUCCGGAUUCACUGGGUUUAAAGGGUGCGUAGGUGGGUCUGUAAGUCAGUGGUGAAAUCUCCGAGCUUAACUUGGAACUGCCAUUGAUACUAUAGAUCUUGAAUAUUGUGGAGGUCAGCGGAAUAUGUCAUGUAGCGGUGAAAUGCUUAGAGAUGACAUAGAACACCAAUUGCGAAGGCAGCUGGCUAC